ensembl:lncRNA novel transcript
CCGCCAGAGAACAAACUCUCUUUGACUACACGCAUGAAAUUUGGUGCCAUGACUCGGAUCAGGGGACCUCCCUUGGGAGAUCAAUCCCCUAUCCUCCUGCUCUUUGCUCCGUGAGAAAGAUCCACCUACGAUCUCAGGUCCUCAGACCGACCAGCCCAAGAAACAUCUCACCAAUUUCAAAUCCGCGGCUGAAGACUGACACUGCCCGAUCGCCUCGGAAGCCCCCUAGACCAUCACGGACGGCAAGCUUCAGCUGGCGUGGUGGCUUAUGGCUAUAAUCCCAGCACUUUGGGAGGCUGAGAUGGGAGGAUUGCAGCCAUGAGUUCAAGACCAGCCUGGGCAACAAAGCAAGACACUCAUCUCUACAAAUUUUUUUAAGUUCAUUGGGAAGUAUCCACAAGCCUCAGAGCCAACCAGAUCAUCACACUGAGGAAGAAAUAGACUAGGGAUUCUUCAUCAUGAUCUUUAAAGAGCAACCAUGCUGACACCAUAAGAGUUCCAAGCAAGGAACCCUCUCAAACCCUGUUGCAGCCUGUCACAUGUACUGUGACAGCACCCAUGCACGUGGAAAGAGAUUCAAAGCAAACUCCUGAAUGGCAAGAUCUCCCUUCUCCCAUCAGUUUUCCCCCAGGGAGAGAGGCCCACCAGAAUCCUGAAGGAGCUGUUCCCUGAAAUUUAAGUGAUGACAUGAAUCUGAGGACCUGAGGGAUGGAUGUAGAAGACACAGAGCUGUUUUACCUUCAAAAAUUCCCUUUCAAGGAAGGACUUGUCCCAGGUCCUAAGAGCGCUGUCAGAAAAACAUCCUCCAGCUCUCAGCUCUUUUCAGGCUUUCUCCUCACUGCAGGGUGCCAACUCAUCUGAGAGCACUCCCUUUCUGGGGUGGAAGACAUCCAGAGACUGACUGUGGCGUGGCUAUAAAGGCCCAGCCAUUUCAGCCCGCGAGGGGAUGACUCAGAGGAUCCCUUAUCCUCUAGAGCACUCCAGUGGGGUCGGUCCGCAUCACAGCCUGAUUUCUGUCUUUUCCUAAUCUGCUUCCUCCCGCUAGCUCCCACAAGAAUUGAUUCCUCAUGGAAAUCCUGCAUGCUAAACUCCAUCUCAGAAUUGUGUGCUUACAGCAAACACAACCUGAAACACUAGCCUUUCUAAAGCUUCAGUCCUGUCUGUUAUUUAGUUCCUUCUAUAUAUAUAUAUGUAUAUUCUCUUCUUAAAAUUCUCAUUCGCUCCAAAUCUUACGUCUUUGUCUAAGCUCUAGACUUACAUUUCCUUCCGUCCAUUUGUUAUUUUCACUGAGUAUCCCAGCAUCAAUUCAAGCUGUCCAAAAUGAACACAUCUCUUCCUCCUUAUAACAUUCUAAUUUAUGUUGAUGAUAUUUAUCUUCUUAUGUCCUUCCCCAUAUUCCACCUAUGGUAUUUUAGGCUCAUAAUUAUUUUGUUACCUUUAAUCUCUCACAUCGUAAUAGGCUUUCAAAUAGCUGACUUUUUCUCUGCUGUAAUUACCCACAUCUUUCUACUUGCUUGUCUAGAGGGACUCUGCCUGUCUUUUCCCCCACACCCUCCUCAUUGUAGCACAUUCUUGCACAGUAUCCUAAAUCAGAGUAGGUUCUUAACUCUUAUUUUUUCUAAUGAAUACUGACUGCAAUAGCUACUGCAAAGAUUUUUCCUCUGGCAUUUCCAUCCUCCCAAACUGUCUGUGCACUGUAGCCACACUGAUAUUCCAUACUGCAAAUCACUCUUAUUUGAUUGAUUUUCCUUUUCUAAAAUCUUCAGGAUUUCCUGAAGGAAAUAUCCUUAUUUCCCUAAGGAUAUGAGCCAGAUUCCUUGGGUUGGUCUUCAAAGCUUUGCACUGUCUAAAUGCACUCUCCUAACCUGAUUUGUCAUUUGUUCUUGAUAGUAAAUUAUCUGUUCUUAACCAGGUCCUUCUGCCCCCCACCAGAAGAGUGAUGUUGUUCUGAUCAGCCUUUCCUCAAAUUGUUCCAUAAUGUGGACUAUGGGGGUAACCCUGCUAGCUGAAAUUCUCCCUCUCUCUGAAUCUGACACCUUUUCCACUGUUUCAGCCAAUCAUCUUUCCCUCAUCUGAACUCCUAUACAGGAGUGGACUUUGCAUCACUCAAUUUUUUACUUUGCAUACAUCAGUAAAUGUAUUUUAAGUCUCUACCAUGUUUUAAACACUAAACUGAAUGCUGAGAAGACAGAGUAAUGAGAAGUGUUUUCUGUUCUCAGGAAGUACUGAGGCGGAGUAGAUGCAUAAAUAAGCUAGUGCAGUGAGACUCGAAGGGGCUCUAAUACAUGUCUGCUUUGCAUAAAACAACAGGCAAACGAUUUUCAGGAGUAUUGGAAGGGCAACAUAAAGGAAAGAAUAUUUGUGUUUUCUCUUGAUAAAUAAAUAGAUGGUCACUAGAAUUGUGCUGUCGGGAUAGGUUUAUGGGGUGUAUAUUCUUGGCAGAAGAGACAAGCUGAACAGAAGCAGGGAAAAUGGACUAGCAGGUGAAAUCUAAGGAACCGCUCUUGUGGGCAGCAGAAGACGUGGGAAGUAAAGGGAGAGCUUGUACCCAGAUCUCAGGCGACCUUGUGAGGCAUUCCAAGGAGUCUGAAUUUUGUUUUGUUGGCAGUGAGGAGGGAACACCACAAAAUAUGUUUAAUUCAGUGAAUAACAUGUUCAAAUUUGAGUUUUAGGAUGAUCACAAAAUCACAUAUUAUUAUUUGCUUUUAAAAAUAUAGAUCCAGUCUCUAAAUAUAAAACAAGUUGUUGGAAGAAAGUGUCUUGGAUAUGAUAGGAGAUUUAAAAAAAUGCAAUUUUUUUUCCUUCAUCCUACUGCCAAUAAAAGUUAAGUUUUAGUUACCUUAAGCCAGUAGCUUUAAACAGUUGGGCACAUAUACGUACCAUGCACACGCAUAUAUUCUAAACAUCAAAUCACACAGAUUCUGCUUUAAGCAAAGCAAAACAAAAAUACUACUAAGCAGUUAAGUGAAAGGAUACUACUUACAAGAGAUUGAAUUUGUCCUUGUAAAAAUAGCCUCCAAAUUUCAUUUACAUAAAGAGUUCUCCUCUGGCCCUUGUGUUUGUUUACACAUCAUCACUUGAUGAAGGGGUUGAAUAGCUGAGAAAGUAAAGUGCUAUAAGCAUCUUCACUUAGGGAUAAAUCCCAAUAAAGUUAACACAUAUUUGAAAUGACAAUGUAAUGAACCAUUUCACAGGAACUGACUUCACACACAACUUUUCAAGAAUAUUAUCUGUUACACAGUGGAAGGGAGGUAUCCUUGUGUGUGCUGGGACAGCGUAACGGAUUGCAGUUCAGGAUGUAAGAACAAAGGUUUUACACAACAGGCAACAGAAAUGCAACAGUAGAUACAACUUAGAAACCGGUUUUACUCUGCUGCAAACAAAUGGACAAGAUAUUGUACAAUAUGUAAUAAAAAGUACAGCAUAAUACAAGUGCCACUAAUAAAAGAAACUUAAGGAUAAGACUU